GAUGAACGCUAGCGGCAGGCUUAACACAUGCAAGUCGAGGGGUAACAUGGGUAGCAAUACCUGAUGACGACCGGCAAACGGGUGCGGAACACGUACAGAACCUACCUUGAUCUGGGGCAUAGCCCGAAGAAAUUCGGAUUAACUCCCCAUAAUAUAAUUGGAUGGCAUCAUUUGUAUUAUUAAAAAUUUAAUUGGAUCGAGAUGGCUGUGCGUCCCAUUAGCUAGUUGGAGGGUAACGGCCUACCAAGGCGACGAUGGGUAGCUGGUGUGAGAGCACGACCAGCCAUACGGGCACUGAGACACGGGCCCGACUCCUACGGGAGGCAGCAGUGAGGAAUAAUUGGUCAAUGGACGCAAGUCUGAACCAAGCCAUGCCGCGUGAAGGAUGAAGGCCUUC
rnacentral:rRNA from 1 species